UUAGACAUCAUUGUUUGGGAUUAAAGGU
rnacentral:piRNA from 1 species